rnacentral:tRNA from 1 species
GGGAUUGUAGCUCUAGCGGGAGAGCGCCUGGCUUGCAUCCAGGAGGUCGUGGGUUCAAAUCCCACCAGUUCCACCA